CAGGCUUAACACAUGCAAGUCGAGGGGCAGCAUGGUCUUAGCUUGCUAAGGCCGAUGGCGACCGGCGCACGGGUGAGUAACACGUAUCCAACCUGCCGUCUACUCUUGGACAGCCUUCUGAAAGGAAGAUUAAUACAAGAUGGCAUCAUGAGUCCGCAUGUUCACAUGAUUAAAGGUAUUCCGGUAGACGAUGGGGAUGCGUUCCAUUAGAUAGUAGGCGGGGUAACGGCCCACCUAGUCUUCGAUGGAUAGGGGUUCUGAGAGGAAGGUCCCCCACAUUGGAACUGAGACACGGUCCAAACUCCUACGGGAGGCAGCAGUGAGGAAUAUUGGUCAAUGGGCGAGAGCCUGAACCAGCCAAGUAGCGUGAAGGAUGACUGCCCUAUGGGUUGUAAACUUCUUUUAUAAAGGAAUAAAGUCGGGUAUGGAUACCCGUUUGCAUGUACUUUAUGAAUAAGGAUCGGCUAACUCCGUGCCAGCAGCCGCGGUAAUACGGAGGAUCCGAGCGUUAUCCGGAUUUAUUGGGUUUAAAGGGAGCGUAGAUGGAUGUUUAAGUCAGUUGUGAAAGUUUGCGGCUCAACCGUAAAAUUGCAGUUGAUACUGGAUAUCUUGAGUGCAGUUGAGGCAGGCGGAAUUCGUGGUGUAGCGGUGAAAUGCUUAGAUAUCACGAAGAACUCCGAUUGCGAAGGCAGCCUGCUAAGCUGCAACUGACAUUGAGGCUCGAAAGUGUGGGUAUCAAACAGGAUUAGAUACCCUGGUAGUCCACACGGUAAACGAUGAAUACUCGCUGUUUGCGAUAUACUGCAAGCGGCCAAGCGAAAGCGUUAAGUAUUCCACCUGGGGAGUACGCCGGCAACGGUGAAACUCAAAGGAAUUGACGGGGGCCCGCACAAGCGGAGGAACAUGUGGUUUAAUUCGAUGAUACGCGAGGAACCUUACCCGGGCUUAAAUUGCAGAUGAAUUACGGUGAAAGCCGUAAGCCGCAAGGCAUCUGUGAAGGUGCUGCAUGGUUGUCGUCAGCUCGUGCCGUGAGGUGUCGGCUUAAGUGUCAUAACGAGCGCAACCCUUGUUGUCAGUUACUAACAGGUUCCGCUGAGGACUCUGACAAGACUGCCAUCGUAAGAUGUGAGGAAGGUGGGGAUGACGUCAAAUCAGCACGGCCCUUACGUCCGGGGCUACACACGUGUUACAAUGGGGGGUACAGAGGGCCGCUACCACGCGAGUGGAUGCCAAUCCCCAAAACCUCUCUCAGUUCGGACUGGAGUCUGCAACCCGACUCCACGAAGCUGGAUUCGCUAGUAAUCGCGCAUCAGCCACGGCGCGGUGAAUACGUUCCCGGGCCUUGUACACACCGCCCGUCAAGCCAUGGGAGCCGGGGGUACCUGAAGUACGUAACCGCAAGGAUCGUCCUAGGGUAAAACUGGUGACUGGGGCUAAGUC
rnacentral:rRNA from 1 species